UGAACGCUGGCGGCAUGCCUUACACAUGCAAGUCGAACGGUAACAGGUUAAGCUGACGAGUGGCGAACGGGUGAGUAAUACAUCGGAACGUGCCCAGUAGUGGGGGAUAGCCCGGCGAAAGCCGGAUUAAUACCGCAUACGACCUAAGGGUGAAAGGGGGGGGAUCGCAAGACCUCUCGCUAUUGGAGCGGCCGAUGUCAGAUUAGCUAGUUGGUGGGGUAAAAGCUCACCAAGGCGACGAUCUGUAGCUGGUCUGAGAGGACGACCAGCCACACUGGGACUGAGACACGGCCCAGACUCCUACGGGAGGCAGCAGUGGGGAAUUUUGGACAAUGGGCGCAAGCCUGAUCCAGCCAUGCCGCGUGCGGGAAGAAGGCCUUCGGGUUGUAAACCGCUUUUGUCAGGGAAGAAAUCCUUUGGGUUAAUACCUCGGGGGGAUGACGGUACCUGAAGAAUAAGCACCGGCUAACUACGUG
rnacentral:rRNA from 1 species